GGCCAGUUAGCUCAGUUGGUUAAAGCGUGGUGCUGAUAACACCAAGGUCCAGGAUUCAAUCCCUGUACUGGCCA